rnacentral:rRNA from 1 species
CCUACGGGCGGCAGCAGUGGGGAAUAUUGGACAAUGGGCGAAAGCCUGAUCCAGCCAUGCCGCGUGUGUGAAGAAGGCCUUCGGGUUGUAAAGCACUUUCAGUGGGGAAGAAAGCCUUGGGGCUAAUACCCUCGAGGAAGGACAUCACCCACAGAAGAAGCACCGGCUAACUCCGUGCCAGCAGCCGCGGUAAUACGGAGGGUGCGAGCGUUAAUCGGAAUUACUGGGCGUAAAGCGCGCGUAGGCGGUCUGAUAAGCCGGUUGUGAAAGCCCGGGGCUCAACCUGGGAACGGCAUCCGGAACUGUCAGGCUAGAGUGCAGGAGAGGAAGGUAGAAUUACCGGUGUAGCGGUGAAAUGCGUAGAGAUCGGGAGGAAUACCAGUGGCGAAGGCGGCCUUCUGGACUGACACUGACGCUGAGGUGCGAAAGCGUGGGUAGCAAACAGGAUUAGAUACCCGUGUAGUC